GGGGGCGCACUGGUUUCGACGGGGCUACCGACGAUGAGUGGGCGUCGCAGGCUGAGGCACGGCCUUUAACUGUCCAAGAUUGGUUCAAUUGCCAACAAUAACAACCACUUCGCGGCUGCAGCUGUAGCCUAGUGAAGUCUGGGGACUUCGUGAGCCCCAGUGCUCAGGGGAGAAACUGACCCGCACUCCCCUGCGUAUUUUUUAGGGUUCGGCAGCGAUGAGGGGGAGGUCAGGUGACUUCAUCGUGGUGUUUACCACUUGAAUGACGGCUCUGGAAAGACGGAGCGACACCCGCCGGGGGGCACCCGGAAGGCGUACGUAUCUCAUGAUUCCAAGGCGUUUCGGACGUGGGUUCAAUUCCCACCGCCUCCACCA
rnacentral:tmRNA from 1 species